rnacentral:rRNA from 1 species
AGAGUUUGAUCCUGGCUCAGACUGAACGCUGGCGGAAUGCUUUACACAUGCAAGUCGAACGGCAGCACGGGAGCUUGCUCCUGGUGGCGAGUGGCGAACGGGUGAGUAAUGCAUCGGAACGUACCGAGUAAUGGGGGAUAACGCAUCGAAAGGUGUGCUAAUACCGCAUACGCCCUGAGGGGGAAAGUGGGGGAUUCGCAAGGACCUCACGUUAUUCGAGCGGCCGAUGCCUGAUUAGCUAGUUGGUGAGGUAGAGGCUCACCAAGGCGACGAUCAGUAGCUGGUCUGAGAGGAUGAUCAGCCACACUGGAACUGAGACACGGUCCAGACUCCUACGGGAGGCAGCAGUGGGGAAUUUUGGACAAUGGGCGCAAGCCUGAUCCAGCCAUUCCGCGUGAGUGAAGAAGGCCUUCGGGUUGUAAAGCUCUUUCGGCAGGGAAGAAAUCGCGAGGGGUAAUAUCCCUCGCGGAUGACGGUACCUGAAGAAGAAGCACCGGCUAACUACGUGCCAGCAGCCGCGGUAAUAC